UAGCUCAGUGAUAGAGCACUUGUCUGGUAUGCAUGAAGCCCUGGGUUCAAUUCCCAG
rnacentral:tRNA from 1 species